rnacentral:rRNA from 1 species
UGCAGUCGACGGCAGCACAGAAGAGCUUGCUCUUUGGGUGGCGAGUGGCGGACGGGUGAGUAAUGUCUGGGAAACUGCCCGAUGGAGGGGGAUAACUACUGGAAACGGUAGCUAAUACCGCAUAACGUCGCAAGACCAAAGUGGGGGACCUUCGGGCCUCACACCAUCGGAUGUGCCCAGAUGGGAUUAGCUAGUAGGUGGGGUAAUGGCUCACCUAGGCGACGAUCCCUAGCUGGUCUGAGAGGAUGACCAGCCACACUGGAACUGAGACACGGUCCAGACUCCUACGGGAGGCAGCAGUGGGGAAUAUUGCACAAUGGGCGCAAGCCUGAUGCAGCCAUGCCGCGUGUAUGAAGAAGGCCUUCGGGUUGUAAAGUACUUUCAGCGGGGAGGAAGGCGGUGAGGUUAAUAACCUUGCCGAUUGACGUUACCCGCAGAAGAAGCACCGGCUAACUCCGUGCCAGCAGCCGCGGUAAUACGGAGGGUGCAAGCGUUAAUCGGAAUUACUGGGCGUAAAGCGCACGCAGGCGGUCUGUUAAGUCAGAUGUGAAAUCCCCGGGCUUAACCUGGGAACUGCAUUUGAAACUGGCAGGCUUGAGUCUCGUAGAGGGGGGUAGAAUUCCAGGUGUAGCGGUGAAAUGCGUAGAGAUCUGGAGGAAUACCGGUGGCGAAAGGCGGCCCCCUGGACGAAGACUGACGCUCAGUGC